rnacentral:misc_RNA from 1 species
AACGGUCUAUACCUGCGGUACCUGCGGAGGGAUCAUUACCGAGUUAUCCAACUCCCAACCCCUGUGAAUCAUACCUUUAAUUGUUGCUUCGGCGGGACUUCGCGCCCGCCGGGGACCCAAACCUUCUGAAUUUUUUAAUAAGUAUCUUCUGAGUGGUUAAAAAAAAUGAAUCAAAACUUUUAACAACGGAUCUCU